AUUAUUUCUUUUAACAAACGUACUGAUUGAAAAUUAGAGGAUUAAUAUGAAACAGGUGCGUGCAUUAAUUGCAGCCAAUUAGCUCACAUUAGCACCUGAACCUCUUUAUAAACCCAUUGCGCACUAAUGAACACCAAACUCAGCUACUGGCUGUUUUUUCUUUAGACCGAAGAAAGAAGUUCACGGUUGCCUUGGAUUUAAUGAUGCUGUGCUGUCUUAGAUUUGGAAUAACAUUGCUGUUGGCAGUGUUAGUAACUGAAGUUUGGAUGCGAAACCCCCCUCUAGGGUCGUUUUCUGCAGGCUCGGUGAGGAGAGAAUGUUAAGGCAGUGUGAUGAUAAUGAUGAUGAUAGAGAAGUCUUUUGGGGGAUAUGCUUUCGUAUCGAUGUGAUUGACAAUAAUGGGGUGCUUGUUUCCCUCUAAGACUGGCUGCACAGUGUGGAUAUAGCUUAACCUUUGACUUCUUGGGAAAUGUCAAGUUCCUUGCUUCUGUGCUGAGCUGCUUUGCUCGAACACAAAUGAUGACCCCUUCAAACUGACAGUACAAAUCAGUAUCUUCUCAAACUGUGCUAUGACUUUAGCUUCCUUUUAUGUUCAAAGCAUGACGUGCCCAGAUUCUCCAUGGGCAGAGAGAAAUUCUGUAGAAAAGAAACUACAUGGAGAUUCAACCUACAAUGACCUCCUAUAGAGCUCGGGAUUACCCUGUUGUGAAGUACUUAAGGCCCUUGUAUUUUGAGGUAGAGCUCCUGUACAGCAGGGGUCUACAGGCUGAAUUGUUUUUGAAGAACUGCUGGGUAACCUAUUCUGGGUGGGGAGGGCUGAGUAUUUAUUAAUACCCUUUUUGGAAAGUGUAUUAAUAAAUAAAUCUAAACUAUCCCAAAACUGUUUCUGAGUUUUGCCCCAUGCAGUCUCCCUUAUUUUGACAGCUCUGUGUUGACAGGUCUGAAAUUGUACCCAGCAGUACUAUCACAUCAUAAAACACAACAUUUUAUAGGCAGGCCUAUUAUCCAUGUAGUAUUUGAUUAAAUAACAUUUCUGAUCUUUUAUCACAGGUUACUUAACAUACAGCAAACAUAAACCCUAGGGCUAUUAUAUCACAUUAUUUAUUUUUUUUACAUACAAUUACCCAUUUAUACAGUGUGUGGUGGAUUGAUUUAUUUUAACUGGAGCAAUGUAGGUAAAGUGCUUUGCUCAAGGGUACAGCAGCAGUGUCCCCCACCUGGGAUUGAACCCAUGACCCUCUGGUCAGGAGUCCAGAGCCUUAACCACUACUCCACACUGCUGCCCUUUUCAUAUGUUUUUCCAUGGCAAAAACAUAUUAGAUACUGGAUUUCUGCUUAAUAAAAGUAAAAACUGGGCACUGCAUAAUUGUUCUGCUAUAUGUGGUGUGUGUGUGUGUGUUCAUUACCCCAUUUAAAGCAUUUACUGAUGGAAGAUCAACAUGUCACAGACCAAAUACUGCAGUGUGUCAUGUCAUCCAGUUCAAACUUUAGGACACUCAAUAGUUAUCAAAUGACAAUGAUAGUUGCAUUAGCAUGUUUCCAUAGGACUGUCUGUGUUAACAUCUUCUGUAUUUAUUUAACUCAAGCUUUCACCAAAAG